AAUGUUUGUUGGGAAAGAUUCUUUGUUUUGGAAAAGCGAAGGGUGAAGGUCUUCAAGCAAGAUGUGCACAAACGUCUUGAGAAAAAUGUCAAAUUGUUAUUUUUGAUUAAAUAUUUGACCUCGGAAAAGUCUGACACUAGAAUUUUUGCUUUUGAUUUAUCAUUUUUUUGGUUAUUUUUAUAAAAAAUGAGUUUGACGAUUCACAAGAAAGACAAGUGACUCAAGAUAUGCACAAGAUGCGUGAUUUUAUCAAGUGAAAAUGAGGGUUAGAAGACUGCACACAUCUCCCUUUGUGCCCCUAUGGAGGUUCGACGCUUAAGAUUCAAGGUCAAGUAUAUGCAAUCUCACAAGGAUGGUUCCCUGAGCCUAAGGAUCAAUGGUCACUAGAGCUCUGGCCCCCUCCACAACAUCUCCACAACAGUCGAGUAAUCAACUAGGUGUGAAGACACAAGUAAAGAGGACAGACUCUAGCUGGAGUUCUCACGAUAGCCAGACAGGAAGUACAUCCCAGAGUGACACCGCUACACAACUCCUCCAAUUCUAAGUUACACUCAGACCCGGGUAUAGGGCCUCACUCAAAAGAUGCACAAAGCGUGUGUGUGAAGGGAGAAUGCAAUGCACCCAAACCCUCACCUGCAAAACAACCAGAAAAUUUUCCCAGGCAGAUAUAACAUGUUUUCUAGCCUAGGUAGGGUUCAAUAUACAAGC
rnacentral:lncRNA from 1 species